GGGAAGUUGGCUCAGUGGUAGAGUGCUUGCCUUGAAUGCAUGAGGUCCUGCGUUCGAUUCCUCA
rnacentral:tRNA from 1 species